AUGUAAUACCAUCUUCAAUUGUAAAUUAUCCCAUUAGAACUCCACAAUUUAGCACGAUCCAGCUAGAGUAAUACUGGGAUGGGUGACCACCUGAGAAGUCCAAGUGUUUUACAUG
rfam:Picea glauca, whole genome shotgun sequence.